UACGGGGGGAGCAAGCGUUGUUCGGAUUUACUGGGCGUAAAGGGCGCGUAGGCGGCGUGACAAGUCACUUGUGAAAUCUCCGGGCUUAACUCGGAACGGUCAAGUGAUACUGUCGUGCUAGAGUACAGAAGGGGCAACUGGAAUUCUCGGUGUAGCGGUGAAAUGCGUAGAUAUCGAGAGGAACACCAGUGGCGAAGGCGGCUCACUGGACCGGUUCUGACGCUGAGGCGCGAAAGCGUGGGGAGCAAACGGG
rnacentral:rRNA from 1 species